rnacentral:tmRNA from 1 species
CACCUUGAAUUCACGCGCCUGCGCGCCUAUAUCUGGAGCGUUCCGGCAACGGGACUAUGGACAUAAACGCGCUCGUAAUAAGCGGAUCGGACCCGGGGGCGGUACCCGGCGGCUCCACCAAAUAUCUCUUGUUGGGAGAUCAUGGGGCCGAAACAGGAUCGACGAACGUCUAAAGGGGUUAUGCUUUGUCUCGGUGAGGUACCACCGAUAUCGGUCCGUAAAGUACAAUUGCCAACAACAAUCGUGCUCCGGUCGCUCUCGCUGCUUAAUGCAGCGCGAUAGAUCGAAAUCUUAAGUCCUUGCCUCUAGCCAGGUAAGGCGGGGUUCGCAGGCACCUGGCAACAGAAGCCUGCACU